rnacentral:rRNA from 1 species
GGUUAAGCGAAUAAGCGUACACGGUGGAUGCCUAGGCAAUCAGAGGCGAUGAAGGACGUGCUAAUCUGCGAAAAGCGUCGGUAAGGUGAUAUGAACCGUUAUACCCGACGAUAUCCGAAUGGGGAAACCCAGUAUCCAAUGGAUACUAUCAUUGACUGAAUCCAUAGGUUAAUGAGGCGAACCGGGAGAACUGAAACAUCUCAGUACCCCGAGGAAAAGAAAUCAACCGAGAUUCCCCUAGUAGCGGCGAGCGAACGGGGAGCAGCCCAGAGUCUUAAUCAAUAGCAGUGUCAGGAGAACGGUCUGGAAAGUCCGGCAGUAAAGGGUGAUAGCCCCGUAUCUGAAGAUGCUGUUAUUGUGAACUCGACGAGUAGGGCGGGACACGUGUUAUCCUGUCUGAAUAUGGGGGGACCAUCCUCCAAGGCUAAAUACUCCUGAUUGACCGAUAGUGAACCAGUACCGUGAGGGAAAGGCGAAAAGAACCCCGGCGAGGGGAGUGAAAAAGAACCUGAAACCGUGUACGUACAAGCAGUAGGAGCCUCUUUAUGGGGUGACUGCGUACCUUUUGUAUAAUGGGUCAGCGACUUAUAUUCUGUAGCGAGGUUAACCGUAUAGGGGAGCCGUAGGGAAACCGAGUCUUAACUGGGCGAAUGAGUUGCAGGGUAUAGACCCGAAACCCGGUGAUCUAUCCAUGGGCAGGUUGAAGGUUGGGUAACACUAACUGGAGGACCGAACCGACUAAUGUUGAAAAAUUAGCGGAUGACUUGUGGAUGGGGGUGAAAGGCCAAUCAAACCGGGAGAUAGCUGGUUCUCCCCGAAAGCUAUUUAGGUAGCGCCUCGUGAACUCAUCUUCGGGGGUAGAGCACUGUUUCGACUAGGGGGUCAUCCCGACUUACCAACUCGAUGCAAACUGCGAAUACCGAAGAAUGUUAUCACGGGAGACACACGGCGGGUGCUAACGUCCGUCGUGAAGAGGGAAACAACCCAGACCGCCAGCUAAGGUCCCAAAGUCAUGGUUAAGUGGGAAACGAAGUGGGAAGGCUCAGACAGCCAGGAUGUUGGCUUAGAAGCAGCCAUCAUUUAAAGAAAGCGUAAUAGCUCACUGGUCGAGUCGGCCCGCGCGGAAGAUGUAACGGGGCUAAACCAUGCACCGAAGCUGCGGCAGCGACACAAAGUGUUGUUGGGUAGGGGAGCGUUCUGUAAGCCUGCGAAGGUGUACUGUGAGGUAUGCUGGAGGUAUCAGAAGUGCGAAUGCUGACAUAAGUAACGAUAAUGCGGGUGAAAAACCCGCACGCCGGAAGACCAAGGGUUCCUGUCCAACGUUAAUCGGGGCAGGGUGAGUCGACCCCUAAGGCGAGGCUGAAAAGCGUAGUCGAUGGGAAACGGGUUAAUAUUCCCGUACUGGUGGUAACUGCGAUGGGGGAACGGAGAAGGCUAGGUUGUCCGGGCGACGGUCGUCCCGGUUCAAGCAGGUAGGCAGAGUGAUUAGGCAAAUCCGGUCACUUAAUGCUGAGAUGUGAUGACGAACCACCAAGGUGGUGAAGCAAUUGAUGCCCCGCUUCCAGGAAAAGCCUCUAAGCUUCAGGUUACCAACAAUCGUACCCCAAACCGACACAGGUGGUCAGGUAGAGAAUACUCAGGCGCUUGAGAGAACUCGGGUGAAGGAACUAGGCAAAAUGGUGCCGUAACUUCGGGAGAAGGCACGCUGGCGGUAGGUAAAGUCCCUUGCGGACGGCGCUGAAGCCAGUCGAAGAUACCAGCUGGCUGCAACUGUUUAUUAAAAACACAGCACUGUGCAAACACGAAAGUGGACGUAUACGGUGUGACGCCUGCCCGGUGCUGGAAGGUUAAUUGAUGGGGUCAGCCGUAAGGCGAAGCUCCUGAUCGAAGCCCCAGUAAACGGCGGCCGUAACUAUAACGGUCCUAAGGUAGCGAAAUUCCUUGUCGGGUAAGUUCCGACCUGCACGAAUGGCGUAAUGAUGGCCAGGCUGUCUCCACCCGAGACUCAGUGAAAUUGAACUCGCUGUGAAGAUGCAGUGUACCCGCGGCAAGACGGAAAGACCCCGUGAACCUUUACUAUAGCUUGACACUGAACAUUGAGCCUUGAUGUGUAGGAUAGGUGGGAGGCUUUGAAGUGUGGACGCCAGUCUGCAUGGAGCCAACCUUGAAAUACCACCCUUUAACGUUUGAUGUUCUAACCUAGGCCCAUAAACUGGGUCGGGGACCGUGUCUGGUGGGUAGUUUGACUGGGGCGGUCUCCUCCUAAAGAGUAACGGAGGAGCACGAAGGUUGGCUAAGCAUGGUCGGACAUCAUGCGGUUAGUGCAAAGGCAUAAGCCAGCUUGACUGCGAGAGUGACGGCUCGAGCAGGUACGAAAGUAGGUCUUAGUGAUCCGGUGGUUCUGAAUGGAAGGGCCAUCGCUCAACGGAUAAAAGGUACUCCGGGGAUAACAGGCUGAUACCGCCCAAGAGUUCAUAUCGACGGCGGUGUUUGGCACCUCGAUGUCGGCUCAUCACAUCCUGGGGCUGAAGUAGGUCCCAAGGGUAUGGCUGUUCGCCAUUUAAAGUGGUACGCGAGCUGGGUUUAGAACGUCGUGAGACAGUUCGGUCCCUAUCUGCCGUGGGCGUUGGAAGAUUGAGAGGGGUUGCUCCUAGUACGAGAGGACCGGAGUGAACGCACCACUGGUGUUCGGGUUGUCAUGCCAAUGGCAUUGCCCGGUAGCUAAGUGCGGAAGAGAUAACCGCUGAAAGCAUCUAAGCGGGAAACUUGCCUCGAGAUGAGUCUUCCCUGUCGCUUUAAGCGACCUAAAGGAACGUUUAAGACUAAGACGUUGAUAGGCUGGGUGUGUAAGCGUAGUGAUACGUUGAGCUAACCAGUACUAAUGAACCGUGAGGCUUAACCUG